rnacentral:rRNA from 1 species
CGUGUAGGCGGUCAGGUAAGUGGAAUGUGAAAUGCCCCGGCUCACCCGGGGACCGGCAUCCCAAACUGCCUGGCUUGAGUAUGGGAGAGGAUGGAGGAAUUCCUGGUGUAGCGGUGAAAUGCGUAGAUAUCAGGAGGAACACCGGUGGCGAAGGCGUCCAUCUGGCCCAAUACUGACGCUGAGACGCGAAAGCGUGGGGAGCAAACAG